rnacentral:rRNA from 1 species
UACAGAGGUCUCAAGCGUUGUUCGGAUUCAUUGGGCGUAAAGGGUGCGUAGGUGGCGGGGUAAGUCAGGUGUGAAAUUUCGGAGCUUAACUCCGAAACUGCAUUUGAUACUGCCUUGCUUGAGGACUGGAGAGGAGACUGGAAUUCACGGUGUAGCAGUGAAAUGCGUAGAGAUCGUGAGGAAGACCAGUGGCGAAGGCGGGUCUCUGGACAGUUC